CUCUCAAAAUGGCUAAACAAGUCUCAAUUCUCUCGCUCUUUCUUCUCUGCAUCUUCUUGGCUUCUCAGGAGAUAAUGGUGACCGAAGCAGUGGAAUGCACAAUAAAAAGCACUUUGUGGACUGAGCUUUGCCCAUUUGAUGCCAGAGUAAAGGACUUAUGCAACAAAACUUGUAUUAGAGAAAACUACAUAUGGGGUGAUUGCGAAAACUUAGAUUGUAUGUGCCAUUAUGAUUGCUAGUGGAAUUGAACUUAGAUUUUGUUGCCAAUAUUAGGCAUCAGAAUUUAUGUAUUUUGAUAUACAUGUUGCCAAUAAUAAUAUCGAAAUGGAAAUUUGAAUUUCCGAUGUUUUCAA